rnacentral:rRNA from 1 species
GACGUAGGGCGCGAGCGUUGUCCGGAUUUAUUGGGCGUAAAGAGCUCGUAGGCGGUUUGUCGCGUCUGCUGUGAAAACCUCAGGCUCAACCUGGGGCUUGCAGUGGGUACGGGCAGACUAGAGUGCGGUAGGGGUGACUGGAAUUCCUGGUGUAGCGGUGGAAUGCGCAGAUAUCAGGAGGAACACCGAUGGCGAAGGCAGAUCUCUGGGCCGUAACUGACGCUGAGGAGCGAAAGCAUGGGGAGCGAACAGG